rnacentral:lncRNA from 14 species
UGAGAAUAUACAUGGUAUUUAUCUGUCUCUGUACUUUUCUGCUUUCUGUAAGAAAGCGCUGGCACCUGUGGCAGGCAGAUUGGUAAAAAGGAGCUUGGUACCUCUGAUGUACAGAAUGAAAGCUGAGAUAUCAGAUAGGUUGUCCCCAAAGGAUCAAUCCUUUAAUCCAAACAAUCCAAAGGGGAGGAGACUACAAUGACCACACCUGGUACUGAUGAUUACAAUUCAACAUCCUUGCACAGCACCACUUCAUCAGUCAACAUGCCAGCAAGCACUGGGAUCAGCCCCACUCCCAGCUCCACUUACACAAUAGGUGACAAACUUGCACACAGUUACCACAGUUCUGAUACAUCAUGCACAGAAAAUGGAUUUGAAUGAGGCAAUUCAUUUGGAGUGUUUUUAACCUAAGCUUACAAAUUAGACACACAAUUGCAUUAAACUUAAGGAUGUUUUUAGGAACCCUACUAACUGUUUAUGAGUAAUAUUCAAGAUACCAG